UUCGACGCAACGCGAAGAACCUUACCAAGGCUUGACAUAUACAGGAAUAUGGCAGAGAUGUCAUAGCCGCAAGGUCUGUUAUACAGGUGGUGCAUGGUUGUCGUCAGCUCGUGUCGUGAGAUGUUGGCUUAAGUCCCGCAACGAGCGCAACCCUCGUUCUGUGUUGCCAGCAUUUAGUUGGGGACUCACAGGAGACUGCCGGGGUUAACUCGGAGGAAGGUGGGGAUGACGUCAAAUCAUCAUGCCCCUUAUGUCUUGGGCUGCACGCAUGCUACAAUGGCUGGUACAAACGGCUGCAAUACCGCAAGGUGGAGCGAAUCCGAGAAAGCCAGUCUCAGUUCGGAUUGGGGUCUGCAACUCGACCCCAUGAAGUCGGAGUUGCUAGUAAUCGUAGAUCAGCAACGCUACGGUGAAUACGUUCCCGGGGCUUGUACACACCGCCCGUCACGUCACGAA
rnacentral:rRNA from 1 species